GGGAAGCAGAUCAUCAGGACGAAUGACUUACUUGCCACUCUUUCUCAACAGAGGAAGAGCUUUACUGCACCAAGAUCUUUGGAGGGACUUUACUGUGUUGAUCUGGUGUGGGGUUUAUGCUAUUGGAUACAAGCUUGUUAGUUUCUCUGCCCUUUGGUCAUCAACUGACAAUGUAUUGACUGAGCUGCAUUGAACACUGCACAUAAUAUGUUACCAGUAUGAGAACCGGGAUAAGGACCAAUACUGAUACCAGUUCCAACAAAGUCAGUCCCUAAGAUCACAGACAGGACAAUUUACAUGAAUAAAUACAUAAAUAAAUCUACAAUUUGAGUGUUUUACGAGUACUUGUGCAGUGUAUUUAGUUUGUUUGCAGUUUAUUG